UGGGGAAUAUUGGACAAUGGAGGCAACUCUGAUCCAGCAAUUCUGUGUGUGUGAAGAAGGUUUUAGGACUGUAAAACACUUUUAGUAGGGAAGAAAGAAAUGACGGUACCUACAGAAGAAGCGACGGCUAAAUACGUGCCAGCAGCCGCGGUAAUACGUAUGUCGCGAGCGUUAUCCGGAAUUAUUGGGCUUAAAGGGCAUCUAGGCGGUUAAACAAGUUGAAGGUGAAAACCUGUGGCUCAACCAUAGGCUUGCCUACAAAACUGUAUAGCUAGAGUACUGGAAAGGUGGGUGGAACUACACGAGUAGAAGUGAAAUUCGUAGAUAUGUGUAGGAAUGACGAUGAUGAAGAUAACUCACUGGACAGCAACUGACGCUGAAGUGCGAAAGCUAGGGGAGCAAACAGG
rnacentral:rRNA from 1 species